GGGGAAGUACUCAAGAGGCUGAAGAGGCGCCCCUGCUAAGGGUGUAGGUCGGUUUACCGGCGCGAGGGUUCAAAUCCCUUCUUCCCCG
rnacentral:tRNA from 1 species